CCUAUGCAUUGUGACGUCAUACACUUGUAAAAUUAAAGUUUCAUUUUCACUUUUGUUUCUAAGAAGUGAACUUACAUUUUCAGAAAAUGUAGGACUAUCUUUUGUUUUUUCUCUCUUUUACUAUGAUGAUUUUCCUGCUGUGAAGCUUUUCUUGUUUAAAGCUCAAUUUCUCUAUGACCACUGAAGUAAACAUCCUGAUCAGUGAUGCAUUCUUGCCAUGUGAAUGUUGAGACCGCGUUCAUUUUUGAAAUCUCCUUUCUGACAGACAUAUUCCACAGGAUCAGCUGAGAUGUUAUUUCACUGGAUUAUUUAAUGGAUAGACUUAUUGGGCAUAUAGUUGGAUAUCUCUGUCAUCAACAUGGAAGAUAUGGUUUGUUCCUAACAUCUAUAAUCCAUUCUCUAUGAAGUUCAGACUGUCUGCUGUUCCUUUGGAAAUACACAGUUAGUCAACAAACAUAGAAACACACAAACUUGAAGGGUAAAAAUACUAUAAUGUGGCCCAUCAGGAUGACCAGAAAAGAAAUCUUAAUGACCCUCUUGAUUAUGUAUAAAGACUGUAACCAUAUAACUGAUGUAAGAUGAUCUGAUUGUUUGGAAUUAAAAUUUCCUGGUGUUUCUACUACCCAAGAUCUUCUUAUGAGUGCAUGGGACUGCUGUAAACCUUCUGUUAAAGCACACCUUGGAGCAUGACACUUUAUUCAUUUAAGGAUUCUCUUGUGAGGGCUUAUGGAAAUGAUCUAUGUCUACUCUUAGAAUGGUGAAAGACUAUCAGAUUAUGCAAAGAUCAACAGAAUAUCCUCUCUUGGAACACUGAAACAAGAAAACCAAACUUAAGAGGAUGGAGGAUUUAAGAAGAACAUAGAUAAAUAUGAUUUCCAACGAAUUUAACCAGUACAAUCAUAGACUGUGGUUUACAGGAUUACAAAGAAAGGACUCAGGAUUGUAUCUUUCACUGUCAGACACUGACUAUGGAUAAAGUGUAAUCAUUUAUCAAACUGAGAUCUAGUCAAAUCAAGUAUUGAAAAUAUGAUUUUCUGAUAGCAUGAGCUCUUUAAAAACUAAUUCUCACAGACCUCAAAGUAUCUGAAAGUGACUUUUAUUUUUACCAAUUCAUAUUGAAGACUGUUGUUAUGUAUGGGAAUUACACAUUAAAACCUUUUAUUUUUCAUCUAAUUUUUACAACCCCCUAGAAAUUAACACAGAUAUCCAGAUGCUGGAUUUAAUGUUAUUAUUUAACUUUCCUGGAAUUGUAAAUAUAUUUUGUUUGUGUAUGUAUCAUGUUUAAUUUUGAAUUUAAAAUUGGUCUCAAUAAGACCCCCAAUAAAGAUGCAAGUGUCCCAUAAUCUGUGUUUUAAUAAUAUCUUGAAUAUCUUUAUCAUACCAUAUUCAUCAUACUAAUUACAUAUAGAAUGGUUGUAGGAAUACACUUUGUUGUUAAGGACACUUUGUCAAGGUCAAAGCAUAAGAUUAUUGAGAUGACUUCUUUGACAAUAAUUUGUAACUUACAAACUUCACAUCAUAAGUACACACUCAGAUGAAGAAUCAAUAAGAUAUUUCUAUAGAGUUUUUGGAUCAUUUACUCCUGGGUAAAAGUUAAUUACUGAGAUUACUGAUUUGAGUCCUGUAAUGCAAUAACUUAAACAUUGUGUAAUAACUUAUAGACU